CUCUUAUCUAGAGAGGUCGAGGGACUGGCCCUAUGACACCCGGCAGCCGGCAGCAAUGCAACGGUGCUAAUUCCAGCAGGAGCAAUCCUGAAAGAUGAGAG
rnacentral:ncRNA from 2 species